UACGAGAGGCCCAAGCGUUGUUCGGAUUCAUUGGGCGUAAAGGGUGCGUAGGCGGCGCGGUAAGUCGGGUGUGAAAUCUUGGAGCUUAACUCCGAAACUGCAUUCGAUACUGCCGUGCUUGAGGACUGGAGAGGAGACUGGAAUUUACGGUGUAGCGGUGAAAUGCGUAGAUAUCGUAAGGAAGACCAGUGGCGAAGGCGGGUCUCUGGACAGUUCCUGACGCUGAGGCACGAAGGCCAGGGGAGCAAACGGG
rnacentral:rRNA from 1 species